UUAGUUUCAAGGAGAGGGGUUUCUAAUAGUUUCUAAAGACUUAAUAAUUUUGUUGGCAUUAUUUGAUUUUAUUAUUUUUCUUGUUUUAAAAUUUAAUUGGGUUGAUGUGCCAAAUAGGGGGAAUUAAGUUGCAUUUUCUUCAUCUCAACCAGCAUCCAUGGGAUCGCCAACUUUUGUUUUUGGAUUUUCUUAUUUGGGGUUUCAGGUUUUCUUUUAAAUUCUCUCCAAUUUCAUCAAGGGAAUUAAGUUUAGUUUUCCUCGUGAAAAAAUCAUAUGUGACAAGCCAACAUGCAGCAAAGAAGGAUUUCUUACACCACGUGCUAUAGCAUAUGUUGAACUUGAUGACAAUACAAAGAGCCUAUCUGCUGUCAUGUUCGCAGAUAUUGUAGAAAAAAUAUUUUCGUGUAAUGCUGCUCAACUAAUGAAAUAUACUGCAGAGGAAUACCGCCGCUUUGUCGACACUACCAUAUUCAAUUUAUCAAAGAAAAAAUGGAUAAUCCAGAUAUAUGCGGACCCGGCUAGAAUGAAAAGUACAAAAUACAAAAAUUACACUAUUGUCUCUAUCAAAGAAAAUGAAGAUUGAAAUCCACCAAUGACUAUCAUUAGUUUUCUUAUCUACAAUUUUUAGACUAAUGCUAUCUUCAAUUAUCAACAAUUUAGAGAUUAAUUUUUAAUUUUCUUUUUAUCUUACCCCUAAUUAAGUAAUGUUUUUUAUGUAUUGGAACAUCAAUUUUUA